GGGGGUUGCCCUCACGGCCGCGCCGGCUCCGUGAGGGGGCGAGUCGGGAUCGUGUCACCAGCCCCGGGCUGACGCGUGGAGGAAAAGCGAUGGUGUCACCCGCCCGGAGUGACCUCCUGGGCCGGGAGCGGCCCCGCGUUCCCCCCGCACGGCCCGGGAGGCGCCGCUCCGUCCCAACAUGGCGGGUGCUGCCUCUUCAUAGCCCGCCCGGGCUGUCAGCCCUGCCGCGGGCACGGGCGGGCCGUGGAGGUCACGGGUGAAGAGCUGCUGACGUGGUGCAGAAUUACCUGUGCUUAAGGUGUAGGCUCGGAGUUCCUGCCCAAAGCCCAGCAGCCUCCUGUGCCUUGACCUGCCAGCGAGCUGUGAGCUGUUCCUCCUUCGUGCCCCUGGCACAGCCCAGGGCUCGCAGCCAAGGCUCUGCAUCCAGCCCUCACAGCACAUCAACCCCCCCCCUGCUUUUCAUCUUGCUUAGUUCACUACAUGAUAGCUAAAACUGAACAAGGUCACAAGUGAGAGUGGGCUUUGGCAAUUCCAACAUUAUCCAGCUGACGUUAAUUGACAUCAUGGAACUGUUGGCAGUGUGAUGGCAGCAGCCCCUCUGAGACAAAGCUAAAGAAAUGUGGGUGUUAUUCCUGUGCACAAGAAGAGUAGAUGCCUAAUGGGCCUGUGUGUGUGCAGUGUUUGUAAACACAACUGCUCUGGGCUGCAGCUGACAGAAACCAUCACUGCUUAUCCAGCUGAAAGGAUGCUCUAGAUCUGCAAAUGCCCCCCAGCCCUGAACAGGAAGUCAGAAAGGAAUCGGAUGUGCCAGAUGAAUUUUAGGUGCCACUGUGUGAAAUAAAAUCUGUUUGCCUGGAGUUCA